rnacentral:pre_miRNA from 1 species
UUUUAUGGAUAAGCAAAAAAAGUGGUUUCUUGAGAUGGAAACUACUCUUGGUGAAGAUGCUGUAGA